AGCCCAACGUGAAGUCACAGUCUCAGAGUGUCAGUGGCCAAGGCAUCUUAGAAAGCAUCCUGAGACUCGGGUCCAGAGGCCCGCCUGGGGUCACACAGCCCAUAGCAACUUGAUCGGGCUUGGCUUCUCGCUUCGCCCUGGGUUACAGCAGCCUCUGCUGAUGGGAACCAACCCCCUUCUAUCUUAGAGGUGCCUCGUUGACACGGAGGGAUUCUGCCAGAACAGACUUCUUCCUCUUUCACUGCAGGCUCUUGAACCCCAUGGGAUGCUGGAACCUGCCUGGCUCUUUGCUGCUUUCGAGGGUCUCAUUCGCUCCUGUUGGCUGACUCCUGCCAGUUCGGCAGAGGCCUGGCUGUUUCUGCUAGGUCACAUCGCUGCUGCUGAUUCAUGUUUGCUAUCCCGACACUACUGAACUGGGCUGCUGGUAUAUUCGUGAAGUGUCUGUGAGUGGAUCGAGCUGCCGCUGCUGAUUCCUGUGAACUGAACUGCCAAUUUCCCGACAAUGCAGACAGGAUUUGCUCCACAGAACCAUUUCUAAGCAAGCCCACUUCCCCUGUAUCCUGAUGACCUUUCUUUCCCACUACCUCUGAUGGGUGGUAGGCUAAAAGGGGAGAUUAAAGCAUUUA